rnacentral:rRNA from 1 species
AGUCGACGCGAAGGGGAGCAAUCCCUGAGUAGAGUGGCAACGGGUGAGUAACACGUGGGUGACCUGCCUUCGAGUGGGGGAUAACGUCCCGAAAGGGACGCUAAUACCGCAUGACAUCCUGCCCUUGGAAGGGCGGAGAUCAAAGCUGGGGAUCGCAAGACCUGGCGCUUGAAGAGGGGCCCGCGCCUGAUUAGCUAGUUGGUAGGGUAAUGGCCUACCAAGGCAACGAUCAGUAUCCGGCCUGAGAGGGCGGACGGACACACUGGGACUGAGACACGGCCCAGACUCCUACGGGAGGCAGCAGUGGGGAAUUGUUCGCAAUGGGCGCAAGCCUGACGACGCAACGCCGCGUGGAGGACGAAGAUCUUCGGGUCGUAAACUCCUGUCGAGUGGGAAGAAUGGAUCAGGGGUGAAUAAUCCCUGGUAUUGACGGUACCACUAAAGGAAGCCCCGGCUAACUCCGUGCCAGCAGCCGCGGUAAUACGGGGGGGGCAAGCGUUGUUCGGAAUUACUGGGCGUAAAGGGCUCGUAAGCGGCCAACUAAGUCGGACGUGAAAUCCCCAGGCUCAACCUGGGAACUGCAUCCGAUACUGGAUGGCUUGAAUUCGGGAGAGGGAUGCCGAAUUCCAG